rnacentral:lncRNA from 1 species
UGAUUUGCCAGCUCAAUUAAUGAGCUCAGAUCAAAUGAUUCAUGCUUUUUCCUAUUUUCUAAUUUCUGAUUUUAAUUUCUUUUAUUUCUUUUAAUUCCAUUUCAUUUUAGAAAUUCAUAUCUCUCUCAUUAUUGGUCCAAAAAUUAUGGGACCAAUUUCAUUUUUCUCCUUUUAAUUUCUACUUUCUAAAAAUGAUUUUUAAUAUUU